AUCUGAUUCUUUGAUGUUUUACAGCAAUUCGGUCUGUCGUAAAAAUGGCUGACUCUGUAUCAGACAGGAACCAACAAAAAAUUCUGGAUAAGAAGCUUGAGAAAUGCAGGAAUCCUGAGAACAAUCCAGAUAGUGAAAUAUACAAGAAGAAAAUGCAAGCAAUGCUGGAUGAAGAGGACGACUUCCAUACUGUUAACGAUUUGAAUUGUUCGAUGGAUAACUCAACACUCAAUAUGUCUAUACAACAAUCGCCUUUAUCUUGAAACGAUAUUGACAUACGGAUCUUGUGUUAAGUUUUGUGAUAAUAUACUACUAUAAUAUUUUGAUUUGAAAUGUAGUAUGGAUAAAUGAGAAUAAAGUCUUUUGUAAGCAGU